rnacentral:rRNA from 1 species
CCUACGGGAGACAGCAGUGAGGAAUAUUGGUCAAUGGGCUUACCCCUGAACCAGCCAAGUCGCGUGAGGGAAGACUGCCCUAUGGGUUGUAAACCUCUUUUGUCAGGGAGCAACGCCGGCUACGUGUAGCCGGACUGAGAGUACCUGAAGAAAAAGCAUCGGCUAACUCCGUGCCAGCAGCCGCGGUAAUACGGAGGAUGCGAGCGUUAUCCGGAUUUAUUGGGUUUAAAGGGUGCGUAGGCGGAAUGCCAAGUCAGCGGUAAAAUCGCGGGGCUCAACCUCGCUCCGCCGUUGAAACUGGCGUUCUUGAGUGGGCGAGAAGUAUGCGGAAUGCGUGGUGUAGCGGUGAAAUGCAUAGAUAUCACGCAGAACUCCGAUUGCGAAGGCAGCAUGCCGGCGCCCAACUGACGCUGAAGCACGAAAGCGUGGGUAUCGAACAGGAUUAGAUACCCGAGUAGUC